rnacentral:rRNA from 1 species
UGGGGAAUUUUGGACAAUGGGCGAAAGCCUGAUCCAGCAAUGCCGCGUGUGUGAAGAAGGCCUUCGGGUUGUAAAGCACUUUUGUCCGGAAAGAAAUCCUUGGCUCUAAUACAGUCGGGGGAUGACGGUACCGGAAGAAUAAGCACCGGCUAACUACGUGCCAGCAGCCGCGGUAAUACGUAGGGUGCAAGCGUUAAUCGGAAUUACUGGGCGUAAAGCGUGCGCAGGCGGUUUGCUAAGACCGAUGUGAAAUCCCCGGGCUCAACCUGGGAACUGCAUUGGUGACUGGCGGGCUAGAGUAUGGCAGAGGGGGGUAGAAUUCCACGUGUAGCAGUGAAAUGCGUAGAGAUGUGGAGGAAUACCGAUGGCGAAGGCAGCCCCCUGGGCCAAUACUGACGCUCAUGCACGAAAGCGUGGGGAGCAAACAGGAUUAGAUACCCUGGUAGUCCACGCCCUAAACGAUGUCAACUAGUUGUUGGGGAUUCAUUUCCUUAGUAACGUAGCUAACGCGUGAAGUUGACCGCCUGGGGAGUACGGUCGCAAGAUUAAAACUC